AAUCAACGCUGGCGGCGUGCCUAACACAUGCAAGUCGAGCGCGAAAGGGGAGCAAUCCCCAAGUAGAGCGGCGGACGGGUGAGUAACACGUGGGUAACCUACCCUCGGGUGGGAAUAACUCAGGGAAACUUGAGCUAAUUCCGCAUAACAUCCCGGGCUCAUAAGAGUCCGGAAUCAAAGCUGGGGACCCUUCGGGGCCUGGCGUCUGAGGAGGGGCCCGCGGCCGAUCAGCUAGUUGGCGAGGUAACGGCUCACCAAGGCGACGAUCGGUAGCCGGCCUGAGAGGGCGGACGGCCACACUGGAACUGAGACACGGUCCAGACUCCUACGGGAGGC
rnacentral:rRNA from 1 species